rnacentral:rRNA from 1 species
CUGUAAACGAUGUCGAUUUAGGAGGUUGUGCGUUGAGCGUGGCUUCCCGGAGCUAACGCGUUAAAUCGACCGCCUGGGGAGUACGGCCGCAAGGUUAAAACUCAAAUGAAUUGACGGGGGCCCGCACAAGCGGUGGAGCAUGUGGUUUAAUUCGAUGCAACGCGAAGAACCUUACCUACUCUUGACAUCCAGAGAACUUUCCAGAGAUGGAUUUGUGCCUUCGGGAACUCUGAGACAGGUGCUGCAUGGCUGUCGUCAGCUCGUGUUGUGAAAUGUUGGGUUAAGUCCCGCAACGAGCGCAACCCUUAUCCUUUGUUGCCAGCGGUUCGGCCGGGAACUCAAAGGAGACUGCCAGUGAUAAACUGGAGGAAGGUGGGGAUGACGUCAAGUCAUCAUGGCCCUUACGAGUAGGGCUACACACGUGCUACAAUGGCGUAUACAAAGAGAAGCGACCUCGCGAGAGCAAGCGGACCUCAUAAAGUACGUCGUAGUCCGGAUUGGAGUCUGCAACUCGACUCCAUGAAGUCGGAAUCGCUAGUAAUCGUAGAUCAGAAUGCUACGGUGAAUACGUUCCCGGGCCUUGUACACACCGCCCGUCACACCAUGGGAGUGGGUUGCAAAAGAAGUAGGUAGCUUAACCUUCGGGAGGGCGCUUACCACUUUGUGAUUCAUGACUGGGGUGAAGUCGUAACAAGGUAACCA